GCUAUGGGGAUCUGGCACUGUGGUUACUGCAUGAAAACAGUAGCUGGUGGUGCCUGGACCUGCACCACCACCUCUGCAGGCACAGUAAAGUCUGCC
rnacentral:miRNA from 1 species